CUUGCUCGCGGUCGGCAGCAGCCUAGCGUCUAGGGCACAGCCGGGGGAGUUUGAUUCGCAUCACCAGCCGAUCAAUCGUCUCCUCCUCAAUUUGUUCCUUAGGAUUGAUCUGUAGCUCCACACCCGCUGGAUUGGAUCGGGCGACAUCAUCAGAGGCGACCUAUCAAGGGGAAAGUACCGAAUCAUCUUAGUGACAGAUCUUCCUUGAGUGGAUUUUGAUCUUCUUCUCUGUUCGUGGGCAAGAACAGAUCAUUUGCCCUAGCCUUGAUCUUGGAGGUGAUGAAAGUGUGGGCAGCAGUAAGCAUCAUACCCAUGAUUUCUAGCAGUGGUUGCUUCAGUUUUGGUUCUUUGGUAACUCUCGGGUGAAGAGCUUGAUUUGGGAUCAAUUGAGCUGUUAGGAGGAUUAUGGUGGGAGCUGUGAGUGUUGAUCAGCUACAACCUUCCAAGGUAAGUGAUGUAUCAAUGAGGUAUUUCUGAUUGGUUUAAUAGAAUAUUGCUAAAUUAGGGUUGUAAUUUUAUGUAAGGGUUACUUCUUUUGGGCAUGUGAAAUGUGAAGGAGGGUUUUAAAUAUGAUGAGAUUGAUUAUCAGAUUUGAUGGUUAGAGGUGGGUCAUGAGGAUGAUUAUGCAUGUUUGUUGUAUGAUGUGUGGUGGAUAAUAAUGGGAUGUAAUGGAUGGAUAAUUUUCUGAAUUAGAGUAGUGUCCAUCUUGGAGUUUGUAUUAUGUUAUGGUUUGAUUAAUUAGGGGUUGGUUGCAUUUGAUGAGUUCAUGAUUGUUAUUAAGGAUCAUUGGAUUAUGUUUGGAUUUAGGAAGAGUUAAAUUUAAGGAUGUGCCUAUGAUUUACUUUGGGUUGGAUCAUUAGGUGGAAACUAAACAGGGUUACCUAAUCGACGUAGGAUUAGGUAUUGGGUUUAGUUUGUUGUUGAUUAUGUGAUUAGCUAAA